UCCUCAGCACGAUCCAUGAGUUCAGCACACAAGUUAAAAAAUGCAUCGGUUUUUUCUCUCUCUCUCUCUCUCUCUCUCUCUCUCUCUCUCUCUCUCUCAAUAGUUACACGGGUUUUGAAGGGUGUUUUUACGGUUCUAGUGACAGAUUAACAUAGUUUCUACAUUACUAACAGGAGAAACUUGCUUUUAAAAGGCUGUCAUUGAGGUAAUACAGUUUUUUAAGGGUGUUUUUACAGUUCUAGUGACAGAUCUACAACAUUUCUAUAUUAUUAACAGGAGAAACACUCUUGCAAACCCUGGUAAUUAUCAUUUUGGCUUUGAGAAACAGUCGUGAGGAGGGAGAGAGAGAGAGAGAGAGAGAAGCAUUUAGUUGAGCCUAUCCUGUGCUCGUUCGUGUUUGCUGUGGUGACACGGUGCAGCACUUUUCCCUGUACCGAGCACCGCCAAGCAGCACCAGAGGCACGAAUACGUAAGGUGGAAGGUGGCCAGAGGGUUCCCGGGAGCCAUACAGAAGAAGGAGGAGCUUAACUAAUUAAGACACUUAUUUUCGUCCCCGUUCAGGUUAACUUGGCGGAGGAUACACCAGCUCCAUCACAACACACAUGAAUCGUACCCUCAUUAGGUGGAGGAGAGAGUAACUAGUAGCAGGCCUGGCUGUAGUAGUAGUAGUAGUAGUAGUAGUAGUAGGAGGAGGAGGAGGAGGAGGAGAAGAAAAAGAUGGAAGAAGGAGGAGAAGAAGAAUAAGUAAAACUAGUUGAAGUAGUAGUAGUAGUAGUAGUACUAGUAGGAGGAGGAGGAGGACGAAAAAGAAGACGAAGAAGCACCAUCACGUUAUACCGGACAGACAAGUACAGUGUGAGAACUUAUGGUGGAGGUGGUGACAAUGGCGGUGGUGGUGGUGGUGGUGGUUGUUGUUGUGGCGUGAACAAGCAUAGAGGCGAGGAGAAAUCAAGUGUUGCAGCGUCUUUCCACACACUGCCAAGCGAUAAGGGGCUGAGCCGCGUGCUGCCACUCAACUCUCAUUAUCUUUGGCAUGUUGGCGUGUAUUCUCAAACGUCUCGGCGUCUUAUCACGGUUAACACGGUCUAGUGGAGGGUGAUUGGGUUUCUCAAGGGCUGUUUUCUGACUAAUAUUCGAAUAACUUAAACGUUUUCAUUGAAGGAUUAGAUUAGGUUAGGUUUUGGUUUGGUUUGGUUAGACUAAACUAGGUUAAAGUUUGGUUUGGUUGCGUUUGGUUAAGCUUGGUUUGUUUUGGGUUUAGUUUGGUUUGGUUAAGUUAAAUUAGGUUAGGUCUGGUUACGUUUGGUUACGUUUGGGUUGGCUUGGUUUAGGUUUGGUCUGGUUUGAUUAAUUCAGUUCAUUGAUUCCACUGCUUAUCUCUUCAUUGUGUAGAUUGCGAAUUGAAAAGGCGUCAUAUUUUACAGAUAAAUAAUGAGUGUCUGGAAAUUAAAAUGAUAAGGCUAUCUCCAUAAUCUCCUUAUGAUAAUAUUGAAAUAGCAUUAGCGUUUUCGUGCGUAAUCCAUCGUUUUCAUGAUUUUAGUGAUAGUUUAGCAAUAAUUCUACAUUAAUGGGAAAAUUACAUCACGAGAACCCAAUUAAACAUCACCGUGACCUUUUCAAAAUUAUUCUGGUAAAAGUUCAAAGCGUUUAAGAACACAAGCCACAUUAGGUGACGCAGAGAAUGACGAAGGGACUUGGAAAAGAUGUAGAAUGUGUCAUAAGAUGCCCAAAUAAACAAAGCCUCUUUUGAAAA